rnacentral:rRNA from 1 species
CCGGCCGCCAGCGGCGCUCGCCAAAUUUGGAUCCGCCAGGGCCGGGCCCGCGGGACGUCCGCGUGGCCGAGGUGCACUUUCUCCGCGGUCGAGUGCUACGACCGGUUUCGAGGCGGUCAGAAGCCCGGCGGAAAGGUAGCGCCGCCCUUCGGGGUGUCGUGUUAUAGGCCGCCGCGGUGGACUCGCCGCGAGACCGAGGACGCUUGCCGCGCCGAGCGGUCCCGGGCCGUCUUGGGAGGUUCGACCUCGGCUGCACUGCUCCGCAGAGCACCGUAACCGCCGCCCUAGCACGGGUCCGGAGACUGCCGGCGCCUCGGGUCAGUAGCG